GACCUCGGAUCAGGUAGGGAUACCCGCUGAACUUAAGCAUAUCAAUAAGCGGAGGAAAAGAAACCAACGGGGAUUGCCCUAGUAACGGCGAGUGAAGCGGCAACAGCUCAAAUUUGAAAUCUGGCUCUUUCAGGGUCCGAGUUGUAAUUUGUAGAGGGUGCUUUGGCGUUGACGGUGGUCUAAGUUCCUUGGAACAGGACGUCGCAGAGGGUGAGAAUCCCGUAUGUGGCCGCCAGUCUUCGCCGUGUAAAGCCCCUUCGACGAGUCGAGUUGUUUGGGAAUGCAGCUCUAAAUGGGA
rnacentral:rRNA from 1 species